GACGAACGCUGGCGGCGUGCUUAACACAUGCAAGUCGAACGGAAAGGCCCUGCUUUUGUGGGGUGCUCGAGUGGCGAACGGGUGAGUAACACGUGAGUAACCUGCCCUUGACUUUGGGAUAACUUCAGGAAACUGGGGCUAAUACCGGAUAGGAGCUCCUGCUGCAUGGUGGGGGUUGGAAAGUUUCGGCGGUUGGGGAUGGACUCGCGGCUUAUCAGCUUGUUGGUGGGGUAGUGGCUUACCAAGGCUUUGACGGGUAGCCAGCCUGGGAGGGUGACCGGCCACAUUGGGACUGAGAUACGGCCCAGACUCCUACGGGAGGCAGCAGUGGGGAGUAUUGCACAAUGGGCGGAAGCCUGAUGCAGCAACGCCGCGUGCGGGAUGACGGCCUUCGGGUUGUAAACCGCUUUCGCCUGUGACGAAGCGUGAGUGACGGUAAUGGGUAAAGAAGCACCGGCUAACUACGUG
rnacentral:rRNA from 1 species